ensembl:lncRNA novel transcript, antisense to CXorf30
GAUUGUUUCACAAGGCUGCCAGGACAAAACAGUAGCACAGUGAUGAGCCAAUGGUCUCCUGGGGAAAAUAUAGUCAAAUGACUUUUCAUUUGUUUAUCCUGCUUUCCCUUGUCCCUGAUUUUUCUUCUUGUGUUUUUUUUUCCACAGCAUCAUAGGAUAUUCUAUCUGUUCUUAGUGUGCCUAAGGAAUAACCUGACUUAAAGUGGGUUUUUCAACUCUGAUGCUCAUGUUCUAGGUUGCACAUUCUGCAAGCUGGAUCAGGUUGUAAAUCUUUGACUUUUGAGCAUGAAGAUCUCUAUCCCCAUAGCACAAAACCAUGCUGCUCGCAAAACCACAGAUGCUCAAGAGCUGACACAGUGACACUGUUUUAUUAUGAUGCAUUGUUCCUUGUCUCUGAGCUCUGAGGAUUGUUGACAUUUACAGACAUUGUAUGUUGGGUAGUACUAGGAAUUGGGAUCUAGAUAUUGACCUCUAGACAUCCUAUAUUGCACUUUGGAAGUAUUCUGGGGCAAAGAAAGAACUAGGUGAAUACAUAACCAAGCAAGGGAGAUUCACACCUUACAUUUUCAGGAUGAGAUUAUCAGUUGGUGCUAUAUUUAAAUGCAGGAUUUCGAAGAUUAAGCACAAGAAGAGGCCUGCCAUGUUUAUACUCAGGAAGCAGCCCUGAGAGUAAGCCAAGUGAAUGGGGUCCAUCACUGAAUUCUUAAGAUGAAAGGGCAGGAAGGGCCUUGCAUUUGUCCACUCAAGGAACUAGCCUGAGGAUAGGCAACAACACUGAAACAUCUCUCAAAGCCUGCCUAAAAAAAAGAAAAUUACAAAUUGGUGGAAUCAAACACUUCUGAAGAGAAAAAUAAAACAUGACUUUGCCCUGGAUCUAGUUGUCUGAGGCUCUAGAUGAGAAGAAAGAUUUCAUCAGUGUGAAAAGACCCCCUAUCAGAGCAACAUGAAUGCUGCUGAAAUUGAAGCAAGAACAAACAUCAAAUUUAUGGUGAAGCUUGAACGGAAGAAUGGUGAAAUUAUUAAUGCCUUAUAAAAAGUUUAUGGGAACAGUACUCCAAAGAAAUCAUCAUCAAUUUACAAGUGAAUAACUCAUUUUAAGAAGGGACGAGAAAAUAUUGAAAAUGAUGCCCCAGCAGCCCACCAUCCACAUCAAUUUGCAAGGAAAAAAUAGUCUUGUUUGUGUUCUAACUGAAGAGGACCUAUGAUUAAGAGGAGAAACAAUAGCCAGCACCAUAAACACUUAGUUCAGCUUACACAAUUCUGACUGAAAAAUUAAGUUGAACAAACUUUCCACUUAGUUAUUUGUUAAGAGGUGACCGUGUCGAUAAGGAUAUGGAGCAACUGGAAUUCUCAUCAUGCUUUGCUGGAGAGGCUCAUAGGUGGAAAGGACUUGCCUCAUCUCAGUACAUUUUAGGUUUAAAUCCUACAGUGAUGAGAGUUCCGUUUGUGUUAAAAGGAAGAAGUUCUCCAGCCUGAGGUUUUACAAAAAACUCCAGAUCGCUGCCAGGUUCAAGUUUGGACAGUGAAUUUUGUGGUUAUCCUAUCUAUAAAGCCUUGCAUCACCUGGCACAAGUGAUUAUACAUUUAACUGUUCACCACUCAUUUUGACCAUAAAGCUGGACAACUGUUACAAACAACCAUUUCAGCCCUCGAGAAAUGGAUCAAAUAUAUGCAAAGCUAACAGACACAUGGAUGCAGCUGGAGGCCAUUAUCCUUAGCAAACAACAUAGGAACAGAAAACCAGAAAACCAAAUACCACAUGUUCUCACUUAUAAGCGGGAAAUGAAUGAUGAGAACACACGGACACAGAGACGGGACCAAUAGACACUGGGGCCUACCUGAGGAUGGAGGUUGGAAGGAG